UAGCCAACUCUUGACAGCCUCUUUCGCUUACGGCCAUACCACCCUGGACACGCCCUCUAGUGUGAGUUAGAGUUGUUGCACUGCAGGAAGUGUGAGGUGGCAGAAGGAAGAGAGAGGCUCUUCCAUUUUGGCAGUUUUGUUUUUUGUUUUUAGUUUUUGUAUUACAAAGUUUACUUUAAUUGUUUUUUUAGUUAAAGAUUAAUUUUAACUAACCCCAAACAGUAACACUGUUUUGGGGUUAGUAAACAACAAAAUGGACACUACGGAGAAAGAGAAUGAACAGGACACAAAUGGAAAAAGGAACAGAGAACAAGGAAAUGCUACUAACAUGCUUGAAAGGACUCGAAAUGAAGAUGCCGGAGAAAACAGCAAUGAGACAUGGGCAACAGUUGUCUCAAAGAAAAAAAAAGGAAUAGGAGGUGGUCAAGAAAAGAAAGAGGAUCUACAAUCAAUUGCAAGUAUUGAAAGUGUAAAGAAUACUGAAGGACAAAGGAAUGCUUUAAGUCAAAAACAACAAAUGCUGAACAAACUAAAGAAGCAAGCAAGAUAUCAAAGAGAGUACAAGAAGGAAGCCAAACUAACAAUGAUGAUUGUACGCAAGCAAAAGAUGGCCAGAUUGAGACUUGUGAACUUCACCACUGGCUCCCUCCUUUAAAAUGUUACUCUGCUGAAGUACAUGUGAAUAAAAAAAUAUUUUCAAGACAGCAAA